AGGCUGUGUGGCAUUCUCUACUCGCUGCUGCUUUGUCCAUAAUCAAUGUCAUCUGCUUACAAACAACAUUAUGUGGUUUUUAAAAAAAAUCAUAGCUGACAAGCCUGCGUAUCUUCUAUGGCUUCUGAAAAGCAACCUGGGUCCUUCUGUUCCCAUGCAUCAACCUCAGUUACUCAGAGGCAGUGACACUGCACUUAUGGCACUGCUGGUGUGCAUGAUGGCAUCCUUUUGCAAGGGUAACUGGAAGACCUUGUCUGAGCAUUGUCCUAGUUUAUGGGAGAGAUUAAGUCCUGUGUUCCAUAAAAAAACCCCAAACAAACAAAAUUAUAGAGCUUCAUGUGUUUGAUAAAAGAGGACUAUAGAGAAGCCUCAUUUCUCCUCACUUGCUGCAGGAGGUGAUAGGGGAGAG
rnacentral:lncRNA from 1 species